rnacentral:rRNA from 1 species
UACAGAGGUCUCGAGCGUUGUUCGGAUUCAUUGGGCGUAAAGGGUGCGUAGGCGGCGCGGUAAGUCGGGUGUGAAAUCUUGGAGCUUAACUCCGAAACUGCAUUCGAUACUGCCGUGCUUGAGGACUGGAGAGGAGACUGGAAUUUACGGUGUAGCGGUGAAAUGCGUAGAUAUCGUAAGGAAGACCAGUGGCGAAGGCGGGUCUCUGGACAGUUCCUGACGCUGAAGCACGAAGGCCAGGGGAGCAAACGGG